rnacentral:pre_miRNA from 1 species
AGUGGAAUAGCUGGGUCGUAUGGUAAUUCCAUUACAUUUUUGAAGGAAUCUUCAUACUGCUUUCCAAAGUGGCUAUACCAAUUUGCAGUCCCAGUGUUUAA